rnacentral:rRNA from 1 species
GAUGAACGCUGGCGGCGUGCUUAACACAUGCGAGUCGAACGAUGAAGCCCAGCUUGCUGGGUGGUUUAGUGGCGAACGGGUGAGUAACACGUGAGUAACCUGCCCUUGACUCUGGGAUAAGCCUGGGAAACUGGGCCUAAUACUGGAUAUGACUUCUCUUCGCAUGGUGGGGGGUGGAAAGAUUUAUUGGUCUUGGAUGGACUCGCGGCCUAUCAGCUUGUUGGUGAGGUAAUGGCUCACCAAGGCGACGACGGGUAGCCGGCCUGGGAGGGUGACCGGCCACACUGGGACUGAGGCACGGCCCAGACUCCUACGGGAGGCAGCAGUGGGGAGUAUUGCACAGUGGGCGCGAGCCUGAUGCAGCGACGCCGCGUGAGUGAUGACGGCCUUCGGGUUGUAAACCUCUUUCAGUAGGGAAGAAGCGGGAGUGACGGUACCUGCAGAAGAAGCGCCGGCUAACUACGUG